rnacentral:rRNA from 1 species
UACGGAGGGCGCAAGCGUUGUUCGGAAUCACUGGGCGUAAAGCGCGUGUAGGCGGCUUGGCAAGUCGGGUGUGAAAUCCCGAGGCUCAACCUCGGAACUGCACUCGAAACUGCCUCGCUCGAGUCCCGGAGAGGGUGGCGGAAUUCCCGGUGUAGGGGUGAAAUCCGUAGAUACCGGGAGGAACACCAGUGGCGAAGGCGGCCACCUGGACGGUGACUGACGCUGAGACGCGAAAGCGUGGGGAGCAAACAGG